CUACUUACCUGGACAGGGUCUAUGGGUGAUUAAGAAGGCUCAUGGCCUAGGCAUGCGGCUGCUAUUGCACUUUAGCGGUGCUCUAGCCUAACAUCUCCCCAAGUGGGAGAGUGUACGUCAUUAUUUGUGGCAGUGGGGGCCUGCGUUCGCGCGGCCCCUAA